GAGGAGCCAGAUCCAUGCUGCAGCUGUCUGUGGCCUGCAGCCACCUGCGUCUAGCUGUUACAAGCCGGACACGCCUCUGCAUCUACUACAGCUACGGCAUACUACCCAUUCUGCCCCUUUGUCUGUCUGCAGGGUUCGAUCUAAAAUGGCUGUAUGGUCUCAGGUCCUGGAGGGCUCCUGAAGAUAAUAACAGGACAUUCAGGCUGGCUGUUAAACCUCCAAAGAAUCUCUGGCAUUGCUGAAGCAUUUCUGCAGUGGAUAUGCAGCAGACAUCGUGUCUACGUUCCCUGUUGAUUUUGUAUUGUUUAUUAAUGUAGUGUCUCUAGUCUUUUGUCUAGUGCUGUGGCUUUCGUAUACC
rnacentral:lncRNA from 1 species